AUUGAACGCUGGCGGCAGGCUUAACACAUGCAAGUCGAGCGGGGUGAUGGUGCUUGCACUAUCACUUAGCGGCGGACGGGUGAGUAAUGCUUAGGAAUCUGCCUAUUAGUGGGGGACAACAUCUCGAAAGGGAUGCUAAUACCGCAUACGUCCUACGGGAGAAAGCAGGGGAUCACUUGUGACCUUGCGCUAAUAGAUGAGCCUAAGUCGGAUUAGCUAGUUGGUGGGGUAAAGGCCUUCCAAGGCGACGAUCUGUAGCGGGUCUGAGGGGAUAGUCCCCCACACUGGGACUGAGACACGGCCCAGACUCCUACUGGAGGCAGCAGUGGGGAAUAUUGGACAAUGGGGGGAACCCUGAUCCAGCCAUGCCGCGUGUGUGAAGAAGGCCUUAUGGUUGUAAAGCACUUUAAGCGAGGAGGAGGCUCUUUUGGUUAAUACCCAAGAUGAGUGGACGUUACUCGCAGAAUAAGCACCGGCUAACUCUGUGCCAGCAGCCGCGGUAA
rnacentral:rRNA from 1 species